rnacentral:rRNA from 1 species
UUCCCCUAGUAACUGCGAGUGAAGCGGGAAAAGCUCAAAUUUAAAAUCUGGUGGUCUUUGGCCAUCCGAGUUGUAAUUUAGAGAAGCGUUUUCCGCGCUGGACCGUGCACAAGUCUCCUGGAAUGGAGCGUCAUAGAGGGUGAGAAUCCCGUCUUUGGCAUGGACACACCAGGGCUUUUGUGAUGCGCUCUCGAAGAGUCGAGUUGUUUGGGAAUGCAGCUCAAAAUGGGUGGUGAACUCCAUCUAAAGCUAAAUAUUGGCGAGAGACCGAUAGCGAACAAGUACCGUGAGGGAAAGAUGAAAAGCACUUUGGAAAGAGAGUGAAACAGUACGUGAAAUUGUUGAAAGGGAAACGCUUGAAGUCAGUCACGUCGACCGAGACUCAGCCUUGCCUCGGCUUGGUGUACUUCUCGGCUGACGGGUCAGCAUCAAUUUUGCCCCUUGGAUAAUGGCGAGGGAAAUGUGACACCUUUAUGGUGUGUUAUAGUCUCUCGUCGCAUGCAAGGGUUGGGAUUGAGGAACUCAGCACGCGCCUUUUGGUGUCGGGGUUUUGCCCACGAUACGUGCUUAGGAUGUUGGCAUAAUGGCUUUAAACGACCCGUCUUGAAACACGGACCAAGGAGUCUAACAUGCCUGCGAGUGUUCGGGUGGAAAACCCGUGCGCGCAAUGAAAGUAAAAGUUGGGACCUCUGUCGUGGAGGGCACCGACGCCCGGACCAGACCUUCUGUGACGGCUCUGCGGUAAAGCAUGUAUGUUAGGACCCGAAAGAUGGUGAACUAUGCCUGAAUAGGGUGAAGCCAGAGGAAACUCUGGUGGAGGCUCGUAGCGAUUCUGACGUGCAAAUCGAUCGUCAAAUUUGGGUAUAGGGGCGAAAGAC